GGGGGCAGCGCAGGAUCCUGGCUGUGUCCCCCGGUGACCUGGGCUCCGGGGCCUGCGCUGCUGGAAUCGUGCUCCCUGGGCCGGGCAGCCCCCU
rnacentral:pre_miRNA from 1 species